rnacentral:rRNA from 1 species
UCCUACGGGAGGCAGCAGUGGGGAAUUUUGGACAAUGGGCGAAAGCCUGAUCCAGCAAUGCCGCGUGUGUGAAGAAGGCCUUCGGGUUGUAAAGCACUUUUGUCCGGAAAGAAAUCCUUGGCUCUAAUACAGUCGGGGGAUGACGGUACCGGAAGAAUAAGCACCGGCUAACUACGUGCCAGCAGCCGCGGUAAUACGUAGGGUGCGAGCGUUAAUCGGAAUUACCGGGCGUAAGGCGUGCGCAGGCGGUUUGCUAAGACCGAUGUGAAAUCCCCGGGCUCAACCUGGGAACUGCAUUGGUGACUGGCAGGCUAGAGUAUGGCAGAGGGGGGUAGAAUUCCACGUGUAGCAGUGAAAUGCGUAGAGAUGUGGAGGAAUACCGAUGGCGAAGGCAGCCCCCUGGGCCAAUACUGACGCUCAUGCACGAAAGCGUGGGGAGCAAACAGGAUUAGAUACCCUGGUAGUCCACGCCCUAAACGAUGUCAACUAGUUGUUGGGGAUUCAUUUCCUUAGUAACGUAGCUAACGCGUGAAGUUGACCGCCUGGGGAGUACGGUCGCAAGAUUAAAACUCAAAGGAAUUGACGGGGACCCGCACAAGCGGUGGAUGAUGUGGAUUAAUUCGAUGCAACGCGAAAAACCUUACCUACCCUUGACAUGGUCGGAAUCCCGCUGAGAGGUGGGAGUGCUCGAAAGAGAACCGGCGCACAGGUGCUGCAUGGCUGUCAUCAGCUCGUGUCGUGAGAUGUUGGGUUAAGUCCCGCAACGAGCGCAACCCUUGUCCUUAGUUGCUACGCAAGAGCACUCUAAGGAGACUGCCGGUGACAAACCGGAGGAAGGUGGGGAUGACGUCAAGUCCUCAUGGCCCUUAUGGGUAGGGCUUCACACGUCAUACAAUGGACGGAACAGAGGGUUGCCAACCCGCGAGGGGGAGCUAAUCCCAGAAAACCGAUCGUAGUCCGGAUUGCACUCUGCAACUCGAGUGCAUGAAGCUGGAAUCGCUAGUAAUCGCGGAUCAGCAUGCCGCGGUGAAUACGUUCCCGGGCCUUGUACACACCGC